CCUACGGGAGGCAGCAGUGGGGAAUAUUGGGCAAUGGGCGCAAGCCUGACCCAGCAACGCCGCGUGAAGGAAGAAGGCUUUCGGGUUGUAAACUUCUUUUCUCAGGGACGAAGCAAGUGACGGUACCUGACGAAUAAGCCAUGGCUAACUACGUGCCAGCAGCCGCGGUAAUACGUCGGUGGCAAGCGUUAUCCGGAUUUACUGGGUGUAAAGGGCGUGUAGGCGGGAAAGCAAGUCAGAUGUGAAAACCAUGGGCUCAACCUGUGGCCUGCAUUUGAAACUGUUUUUCUUGAGUACUGGAGAGGCAGACGGAAUUCGUAGUGUAGCGGUGAAAUGCGUAGAUAUUAGGAAGAACACCAGUGGCGAAGGCGGUCUGCUGGACAGCAACUGACGCUGAGGCGCGAAAGCGUGGGGAGCAAACAGGAUUAGAUACCCUUGUAGUC
rnacentral:rRNA from 1 species